rnacentral:lncRNA from 1 species
AAUAGUAACUGUGAUUUUUGCUUUUGUUUUGUUCUUUUCAUUUAAUUAGCAGAUUUUUCUUGUUUUAUUUUUUUGUCGUUUUUACGUCCUAUUUAUUUAUUUGUUUUCGUGGGGUUUCACCUGCCUUGGCACACGUGUAGUGUUCAGAGGACAACUUGUGAGAGUUGUUCUUUCGUUCUACCAUGUGAGUCCCACGGAUCGCUUUGAUGUAGGAGCCUUUACUCACUGAAUCAUCUCAUUGGCCAAGUUUGUUUUCUCAAAUUUUCUUUUACUUACAUGUGUACAUGUGUGGCCAGAGAAGAAGGUUGAAAAUCUUCUUCUGUGACACGUGGACUUUAUUCUCCUGGGACAAAGCUUCUUGCUUAACCUGGAGGAAAGCUGGCAGCCAGCCCACCCCAGUGGUCCCCAGUCUCUCUAUAGCCCUCAACUUUCUUAUGUACAUGCUAGAGAUUCAGACUCAGGGUCUCACACUUGGAGAUUCACCCUUACUCUUUAAACCAUCCCUCCAGUUUCUUUUUGGCUCAGUAUGUUAUCGUGACUUGCUGGGAACUCGUUACAGAUAUGACCUUGAACUGGUAGUAAUCUCUAUAAAGCCUGAACAUUUCUGUGAUUAGAGUUAAUUUACAGCUAAUGUGUUACUCUACCUGAUGUCGAUUCUGUUUUAAUCCAUACUCGAGGGCAGCAAUAAAAUUAUAUCACACAGACAAGAUUACUUCUGAAUUCGUUAUCUGAAAACACAAAUGGUGUUAUUUGGCCAUGUUGUUCAUAAAUAACACGGUUUUGUUUAUUAUUUAAAAGUAAAGCCAUAAAGGUGCCUCAUUGAGUUUUCCACCAAAUUGGAUAACAUGAGUUCCAUUCCUAGAACCCAGAUACUAUAAGGAGAGAACCAACUCUCAAAAGUUGUCCUCUGACCUCCAUAUAUGCUCUGUGAUAGCCAUACUGUUUGCUUUUCUGAUGCUAUGCUUAAACACUGACCAAAAGCAAUUCAGGGAGGAAAGGGUUUAUUUGGCUUAUAACCUAAAGUCUGUCUUUGAGAAAAGUCAGGGCAUGUUAGGCACACAAAAGUUCUUGUGCCCACAGAGCAUUAGGAAGCCAGGAAUGUUAAACACAUGGCGUUCUGUCCUCAGUGGAAGAGAUAAAAAUGCUGUUUUUUUCACCCAGAAGACUAGAAGUGGAUAUUGUUAAUGACCUGGUGACAUUUGUGCUGUCUGUGGAGGCAGACCAAACUCACUUUUUGCUAAAGAGGCAGAUCUUACCUAAAUCCUGCAAGAUUUAUAACAUCUCUCCCUCCAUUGCUUCUAAUUAAUAAAACCCACCCUUAGUGGGGAUGCCACAUGUAUUUUAUGGCCUGCUAGCCUCUAUGCUAUUGAGAGAAGACCACACGAGAUUCCUAGGGUAUUUAGCUGUAGAACCCAUCCCCAUGGUUCUAUGUACUCUGUAAAGGAGUUUCUAUACAGUAAAACCUUCAGCUGUAUUGUUCACUUAGAUCUGGAAUGAUUGUUUCCUGGAAGGAAGCUUUUCCCCAAACUACUGUGUUCAAAAUACUCUAACAAUGAACCACCUAACAUUAGACUCGCUGAGUCUGGUCCAGGUUGCUGAAGUCAAUGCAAACCAUUUUCAUUCUCCUCUCUUCAUGGGUUGGGUCACCUGCAUUCCCAAACAACUCAUUCCGCAAGGUGGUGUAAUGGCUAUUCCUGGUAGUCAACUUGACUAUAUAUCCAGAAUUGGAAGGUUCCCCUGUGAUCCAGAUCUUGAGGCUGGAAGACACAAGUUUCUGAUCUGAAUCUUAGCAUGGGGCAUAUUGGCUAUGAAAAGCUUAGGCCCAGGCAAGGUAGUAAACACCUUUAAUCCCAGCAGACUAAGGCAAGGAGAUCUCUGAGUUCAAGGUCAGCCUGGGACAAAACAAGUCCCAGAUCCAGGCAUGGUAGUAUACACCUUUAAUCUGGCCACACCUUCUGCUGGAGGCCUAUUUAAGGACAUUGGAAGAAGGAAGAUUCACUCUUCUCGCCUGCUUGCAUUUACUUGCCAGCACAUCUGUUGGAACCUACUUCUACAGAAGACCAGCUGAAACAACUAGCCUCAUGGGACUGAGCAACUACUAGAUCCUUGGACUUCCCAUUCACGGCUGACCAUUUUUGGGGUACUUGGACUACAGACUCAGGAAAGUCGCGGCUCUUAACUUUCAACCUGCUAGUCGAAGUCAAAGGAAGAAAAAGGGACACUUUGAAGUAAUUACGGCAGCGAGUGCUAUGGAGGCUUAUGAGCAGGUUCAGAAGGGCCCCCUAAAGCUGAAAGGCGUGGCGGAGCUUGGUGUG